rnacentral:rRNA from 1 species
GUCUUUUUGAGUUAUUUUUAAAGUCUGACCUGCCCACUGAAUAUUUUUAAAUGGCCGCAGUAUUCUAACUGUGCAAAGGUAGCAUAAUCAUUAGUCUUUUAAUUGAAGGCUGGUAUGAACGGUUGGACGAAGUAUAAGCUGUUUCAUAUAAAAUUAUAUUAGAAUUUUAUAUUUUAGUUAAAAAGCUAAAAUAUUAUUAAAAGACGAGAAGACCCUAUAAAUCUUUAUAUUUAAUAUUAUUCAAAUUUUUUUGAUUAAUUUUAUUUUUAUAAUAUUAAAUAUUUUGUUGGGGUGAUAUUAAAAUUUAAUAAACUUUUAAUUUUGAAUUAGAACAUUAAUUUAUGAAUAGUUGAUCCAUUAUUAAUGAUUAUAAGAUUAAGUUACUUUAGGGAUAACAGCGUAAUUUUUUUUGAGAGUUCAUAUCGACAAAAAAGUUUGCGACCUCGAUGUUGGAUUAAGAUAUAUAUUUAGGUGUAGCCGUUUAAAUAUUAAGUCUGUUCGACUUUUAAAUUCUUACGUGAUCUGAGUUCAG